CUACGGGUCGCUCCAGUGAGGAAUAUUGGUCAAUGGGCGCAAGCCUGAACCAGCCAUCCCGCGUGGAGGAAGACGGCCCUAUGGGUUGUAAACUCCUUUUAUAAGGGAAGAAUAUACGUAUCGUGAUAUGUUUUGACGGUACCUUAUGAAUAAGCAUCGGCUAACUCCGUGCCAGCAGCCGCGGUAAUACGGAGGAUGCAAGCGUUAUCCGGAUUCAUUGGGUUUAAAGGGUGCGCAGGCGGACCAAUAAGUCAGUGGUGAAAUCUUACGGCUCAACCGUGAAACUGCCAUUGAUACUGUUAGUCUUGAGUACGGCUGAGGUAGGCGGAAUGUGUAAUGUAGCGGUGAAAUGCUUAGAUAUUACACAGAACACCAAUUGCGUAGGCAGCUUACUAGACCGUAACUGACGCUGAGGCACGAAAGCGUGGGUAGCGAACAGGAUUAGAUACCCUCGUAGUC
rnacentral:rRNA from 1 species